CCUCCGCAGCAGCUACGCCUCCCGACGGCUGGUCGGCCAUCUCCUCGGUGGCUUCCUCCUCGGCCCCCGGUGGGAUGAUGCUGCUAAGGUCGAGCUCCGGAUACAAGGCCCGGACUGCCUCCCGACCAUCCUCGUACGCCACCCGGUACGAGGCGAAACCCGACUCGAGCAUCUCCUCCCGAUAUUGGUCGGAGACCCUGAAGUCUUCAACCGCCCGGUCGGCCGACUCCCGCGCCGACCUUGCCUCUUCCUCCGCCCGGCCG
rnacentral:lncRNA from 1 species